UCGUCCAGAAUCCUGUCUAACCACUGCACCAGAAACUGACCCGAUGAGGCCAGAAAGGGCUUGAUCUCUACUUAUGCAUGGUAUCAAACCAGCAGGCGUCAGCAAGCUAUCUAAAAGCAGUGAAGAGAUCACAUGUUAUCAGUUCUGAUAAGGUAACUGAUCAGAUGCCCUGCAACCCUAGCUCAUUGUCCUGAAUAUGAUAUAUUUCUAAAUACCAUUUUUUGUUGGCAAGAAUGGGUUUAAUGGUUUUCUGAUGGGGAUUCUGUGUGUUGUUAUAUUUGGUUUGAAAAGGUUGUUAAACUAAUGGAUGAAGUGGAGUCCAUAUUCACAAAGCACUUUGCCAUUAUUGACAAGAAAAAGGCAAUGAAGUUUUUGAGGCCCCAACAAAACAAAGAUUCUCAAAUUGAUUGUGCAAGCAUAGAAUGUUAUUAUGCGUGACUCAGGCAUAGAAUGUUAUUAUGCAUAUACAGACAUAAAAAAGAAAAGCCUGCUGGUAAGUUGUAACUUGUAGCAGUCUCAAAUUGAUUGUGCUUGCUUAUCCUUAAUCUAUGGCACCUUAACUUCUAAUCAUCUACACCAACAUUUAUAACAGGAAAGGGAUCAGUCCCAGGCUGUUGUUGUUCACUAUCAAUGCCUAAAUAGCGUAUGUAUCAAGCAUAAUCCCAAAUCAAAUCUCACAAACCCAGAUGCAUAUUAAUCCAAACCAAUGUACAUACAGGAUAACUAGUUGGAUAUAUAAGCAGCACAUACCCUAAAACUCAAAGACCGAUAACACAUAAUUAAUCCGAACCAAUGUAACAAAUCCCUAAUUUCCAAAUUCACAGACACAUAGCAUCAGAAAUUUCAAAUUAUUAAAAAGGAACUGUAGUUAACCCAAUAAUAUCUCCACCACAAACACAAAAUAAACCUCAGGACUUUGUUGCUUUGUUACAAUCUCUUGGCCUACUUCUUAACAACAAUCAGGACAAAAUAUUUCAAUAAAUUUAAU